UCUUAUUGAAUUAUUUUUUUUGUUUAUUUUUAUUAUUUUAAUUGAAAUAUUUUUUUUCUAAGUAAAUUUAUUGAAUUGAUUGUUGUUUUUAUAGUUUAUAGUACUGUGAAGGAAUUUUUUUAUGUUUUUAUAAGUAGUUUUUUUUUAAUGUACCUUUUGUAUCAGGGUUAAUUAAAAUUUUUUACUUAAGGUAAUUUUCCCGAAUUUAAAUGAGAUAAAUUAAAAAUUUAAUUAUUGUUUCAUAAAUAAUAUGAAUUUUAAUUUAGGGGGGAUAUCCUAUUCAUAUUUAAUAUAUCUGGUUUCUUAAUAAUUAAAUUUAAUUUAGGAGUAAAAUUUUUAUUCAUUGAAUUUAAUUCAUGUUUUAUAUUUUAUUCUAAUAUUCCUAGGGAUUAGCUUGGGUUUUUAUUUAUAAAUUUUUUAUUUUAUUAGUUUUUGUAGGCUUACUAUCAGCCAUCAUUUAUUUCGUUAUAGAAAAUUCUUUUCUUUUGUUUUAUUUUGUUAUUUUUAAUUUUUUAUUAAGAUUUUUUAAUUAAUUUUUUCUUGAAAGUAAUAAUGAUUAAAUUAGUAUUUUUGUGAAUUGAUUUAUAGUAACUCGGCAAAUUUUACUUCCGCCUGUUUAACAAAAACAUGUCCUUUUGGGUAUUUUUUUAAGGUCUAACCUGCCCCAUGAUUAAUUAAAUGGCCGCGGUAUUUUGACCGUGCAAAGGUAGCAUAAUCAUUUGUCCUUUAAUUGAGGGCUUGUAUGAAUGGUUGGACGAGAUGUAGUCUUUCUUUAUUUUAAUUUAUGAAUUUAAUUUUUUAGUUAAAAAGCUGAAAUUUUUUUAUUGGACGAGAAGACCCUGUAGAACUUUAUAUUUAAUUAUUAUUUCUGUCUUGUUGUUUGUUUGUUGUUUGGAAUUUAAUUAAUUAUUAUGUUGGGGCGACAGGAAAAUUUAAUUAACUUUUUUUAUCUUUAUUCAUUAAUUAGUGUUUUUUUGACCCUUUAUUAAGGAUUAAAAGUUUAAGUUACCUCAGGGAUAACAGCGUAAUUUUUUCGGAGAGUUCAUAUCGAUGAAGAAGUUUGCGACCUCGAUGUUGGAUUAAAAUUAGAUUUAGGUGCAGGAGCUUAAAUUUCUAGGUCUGUUCGACCUUUAAUUUUUUACAUGAUCUGAGUUAAGGCCGGCGUGAGCCAGGUUGGUUUCUAUCCAUAAUUUUAAUUUAGUAGUUUAGUACGAAAGGACCUACUUCUAGAAUAAUAUUUUAUAUUUUGAGUAUUUAUU
rnacentral:rRNA from 1 species